rnacentral:misc_RNA from 1 species
CUGGCCGUUCUAUCCCCAAACCUCAAAACACACCAUUCGAAUUUGCAAGAUCAAAGACUCUGUAAAAUUUCAAUGCCAUUUAGCACUUUCUCAUGAGAUUACUCCUUAAUUUACAGAAAUGGAUGGUCUCGCUCUCGCUACCGCCUCUUCCGCCAAUACCAACGCUUGCUCUUCCUUGUCUAUCAAUAAAUCGCAUUUUCCUUUUGUGUCAGCUGGAGUAAGAGGUAUAAGAAGUAGAAGAAGAGAGGUGGCGUUACUUAGAAAGAGUAAAUUUGUUGUUUUGGCAGCAAAAGAAGAAGAGCCCAAUCUUGACCAGUGGGACCAAAUGGAGCUCAAGUUUGGCCGCAUGCUUGGUGAAGACCCCAAACUUACCCUUGCCAAGAUAAUGGCUAGAAAGGCAAACCCGGAUGUUUCGUAUCUCGAAGUUGAGAAAUCAUUUUACGAGAACAAGGGUAAAAUAGUGGAAAUAAGGGAACUUCCUUUUGAUGUGUCUAAGGAUAAGAAACCAUCGAAUUCAUUAGAUGGUUUGAAUUUGGUUCGCCCUGUUCCUAAAGUAGGAUUUAAAGUUCAAGCUGAUGGUAAGCCAGUAGCACCCGUGAUAAAGAAGCCAAGCCAACCAGUUGGAAAAGCCAUGGAUAAUACUAAGCGCAGUGUUCCUAAUGUUAUCUUAAGAAAGCCAGCUAUGUUCGUUGAGGAUGAUGUGGAAGAUAAGUCUACUUCAAGGUCUAAAAUGAGGAUUAAACCAAAUUUGACCUUGAAAAUGAGGAAUGAUCAAGCCAAGGGAAAGUUUAGUGAUAUGACUCUGUUGAGAAAGCCAGAACCAUUGAGUGUUGAUAAAAAGGAAGAAUCUUUGGAUAAUCCAGAGACCAAAUUUUGCAAUGAUGCAACCGGAUCGAGAAUGUGGAAGGAACAAGAUGGGAAUAACUAUAGUGGUUUUACUCUAUUAGAGAAGCCUGAGAAUACAAUGAGUGAUAUUAGGCAAUCUUCAGAAACUGGGGAUGGUGCAGUUGCAAAUGAGCAAGAGCUAGAAGAUGACUCCAGAUUAGGAAUGCAGCCACUUGAUAAGAGCAAUAUUGGGCCCAGUACAGAGGAAACUGCAACAAAUGUAUCAUCUGAUGGAAAUUCUGUUGAUUCCACUGUCAAGAUCUCAUCAGAAGCUACACUGCAAGGGAAGCCAAAGAGAUUCGACUUCUCAUUGAAAGAAGCAUCAACCUCUAUCAUAGAAGAGAUGUCUAUUUUACAUCCAGAAAGUCAUGUAAAUGUUGAUGAGCUUUUGAAUCGCCCUCCUACAUCACCUUUAGAGGAUGCUGAUUGGUCCAAAGCAGAGGAUCUGCUCAGGACAGGACAUAGGGGAGAGGUUGAGUUAGUCAGCUCCAGCACAAGAGGCUUUGUUGUAUCUUUCGGCUCGUUGUUAGGUUUUUUGCCAUACCGUAAUCUUGCUGCAAAAUGGAAGUUUUUAGCAUUUGAAUCUUGGUUGAAGCAGAAAGGCUUUGACCCAUCAAUCUAUAAGCAAAAUUUAGGAAUUAUUGGCAGUUAUGAUGUCUUAGACAAGAACCUUUCUCCUGAUUCAAGAAUGGAUCCGGUUGGACAAGAAAUUGCACCAGAUAUGAAAUUGGAGGAUCUUCUUAGGAUUUAUGACCAAGAGAAACUCAAAUUCUUGUCCUCAUUUGUUGGUCAGAGAAUUAAGGUGAAUGUGGUAAUGGCUGACCGGAAAUUGAGGAAACUUAUAGUUUCUUUGAGGCCAAAAGAGAAGGAAGAGUCAAUUCAGAAAAAGAGAUAUCUCAUGGUGAGGAACGCAUAUCUAGAGGCAGUACUUGAUGAUGCUCAAUCCAGUCUUUUGGAAGUUCUAUAUGCAAAUUUUAAAUUCUCGAAAACAUUUAGCAUUGUUUGAUAGUGACACUUAUAUCUGCAAGUUCUGUUGUUUUGUAUUUAUGAUGCCCCCACAUAGAAUUUUCAGUUGAAAUUACUCAUAUCAAAUGAAUUAGAGAUGCAUGUUGGACUUGGCCCUGAAUGAAAUCAGGAUAUUAUAUAAGUAUCCUCAUUUUAUAUUGUCCAAGAGCUUGUUUUUCAUUUGAUCAAGUAAAUUUCGGGUCUUCUAGCUUUUAUUCCAUUUGUUAUUGCAGGCUAAACUUCAAAUAGGAGACGUUGUGAAAUGCUGUAUCAAGAAAAUAACUUACUUUGGAAUUUUUGUUGAGGUUGAAGGUGUGCCUGCAUUAAUUCACCAGACAGAGGUGUCAUGGGAUGCAACUGUGGACCCUGCAUCAUAUUUUAAAGUUGGUCAGGUAUGUCAAUCUAGUUUUCAUUAAAUUGCAGAAAUUUAUAGUUCUGCUUACUUUAACCUGUACCUGUAGUAUUGUCAUAAGCACAGAACUAUAAAUUGGAUAAGUCUUGGCUUGUGAAAGCUCUAGAUCUUUUUGCUAUUAGUUCUUCUUCUUCCCAUUUUCUGUUUGUUGUCUGUGCUUCACCUAAAGCCUAACACAAUCAAAUACUUUGAAUAUUGUUGAUACUUCUUUUGCUGCUGACUCUUUCAUUCUGUUUGAAUUUUGAGAUAAUGUUUUCUGGUCUCAGAUUGUGGAGGCAAAAGUUCACCAAUUGGAUUUCACGAUGGAACGUAUUUUCUUAUCAUUAAAGGAGAUUACAGUAACUAAUCUUUACUUAGUUUAUGCAAUAUCUGAAUUUUUACCCUAAUCUAAGCUUUUAUUUGGCUGUGUUUUAUAUUUGUUUCUUGUAUUUUCACAUGGUAGCCUGAUCCACUGAUUGAGGCCUUGGAAUCUGUGGUUGGUGAUCGUGAUUCCUUUGAUGGGAGAUUACAAGCAGUGCAGGCAGAUUCUGAGUGGACUGAUGUAGAAUCACUUAUCAAAGAACUGCAACAAAUUGAAGGGAUCCAGUCCGUAACUAAAGGCCGUUUUUUCUUGAGUCCUGGUUUAGCCCCAACAUUUCAGGUAUAUAUGGCGUCCAUGUUUGAAAAUCAAUACAAGUUACUUGCUCGAUCUGGAAACAAAGUACAAGAGGUAAAAGUUUCAUUGCUAGUCUGCAGCAUCUGCAUAACUGGAUUACUUAGGCUCUCAUUACUAUUCCCCUUCAUUCGAAGAUGAUAAAUAGUUGGAAGUAUUUAGGCCUCAUGUAAUGAUAUGAAUUAUCUCUAAUUUCUCUUCAAUAUUAAAACUAUUCUAAAUUCUGCGCUUCUUAUAUUGUUAUGUCUAAGACCUUGACUUUCACCUCAUAAGAAGUAGCGCAUAGAACUCGUUAAAGAGUCAUAUAAUUCUUUUGCUUUUCCCUCAGAGGAAAAAGGUCUAGUGCACAAAAAGAUUGUAUUCAGUUCCUUGAGAAGAUUCUUAUAUAUUGGAGUUGAUGAGAACAGAAAAGAAUUUAAUAUGCUAUAGGUGCUAAAACUGAAGGGCUGAGGUUUGCAUGCACGAAAUGAGAGAAAAGGACAUUUCAUAGCUGAACUAACUGUCAUGUUUAUGUUCUUUAACUGCUUAAAGAAUCUAGAUAAUAAUGAUAUAUCCUUUAUUUGAAGCAGGAGAUAGUAGAAUCAUUAUUGGGUAAAGAGGAAAUGAAAUCUACAAUUUUAUCAUGCACUAACAGAGUGGAAUGAGUAAUUGCUUGCUGGUUCAUAAAUUUCAAAUGUCCUAUUCAGCUCACUUGGAUGGCGCACCACAUUGCUAAAUUUGUACAGCAGGUUUGAGUCGUUGCACUGUUGUUUAUUCUGGAUUAAAAACAGGAUCUCCUUGCAUUGAUCAGCAUGGAUGGGGAAGGGCAAAGGUGAUACUUUUCAGUUUUUUAGUAUAUUGGAAAGGAGUUGAUGAUACAAGAGUCGUUUAAAUUACAGGGUGUAUUGGUGUUACCGUACAGAAAUUUCAAUUCAUGUUGUAUCACUUUUGUAGUUUUGCUUCCAUUCUUUUCUCCCUUCCCCAACCCCCACCCCACCCACACGUGCGCUCCCCUCCCCUCCCCCCUUCCCCCCCCCCACUCCUGUUCUCUGGUUACAUUGUUAGAUAGUUCGGUGGAAUCUGUAGCUCUAGUCUUUUCUUCUUUUAACCUAAAAUUCCCCAUUAUUGCACAGAAAAUUUUGGUAGGAAGAACUAUUGAAGGGAUUAAUUAUGUAUCAAGAGAUGAGCGAUUUCAGUGCUAAUGAUUUUGUUUUGCAUUAGAAGGGUUGCUAUCAUGCAGCAGUAUUAUACUUACUGGUCAGAUUCAACAGCCUUGAACUGAAGUAAGGUUUAACUUGACACUUACAACAUCUGUGUAGGGCAAAAUACUCGGCGGAAGUUAUGGUAUGGCAUCAAUGGUGAAGACCCUUAAGUCUUUGGCGGUUGUGCCUACUGCUUCUUGUUUCUUUACUGGUUAAAGCAGCUUCUAAAAUUCUCACCCAUCAUUGCUUAAAAUACUUACAAUUAUGCCUUUUUCCAUUAUAUUAAAGACAAGAUUAGGUUGUUUAUUUCUAAUAGUCAUCCUUAUGCCAUGUUAGUUAAAAUUUGUUGAAAGAUCUUUGCUAUCUCUCGCUCAUCAUCUGAGUGCCAGAAGUUGGUUUAACCUGAUCCAGGGAUUUAUUUUUUAAUGGGGACAUUAAGUUUUGCCUACUAUACCCUCAAACAUCCCAUUAGCUAGAGUUAGGCUUGGCCACGGUCCAUUUCGAACCGUGAACUGGACUAGACCAGGCCAGGUCAAUGGUUCUGGUCCUUGAACCAGACCAGGACCCAAGGGGAGGCGGGUCAGUUAUGAUUUCCUCUUUCUUGAACCAGAAAUGGAAUC